UGUGAUCAAGUUUGUGUUAAUGUUGAUCGAUUAUGACCAGUAAUGUGUUGAACGUGACCAAAUAAUUGAUCACAAACAAAUCGUAUGUCACAAUCACAUAUUUUUAGAUUACAAUUUUAUUGGUCACAAGUUAUUUAACGAUUACAAUUUAUCAAAUUAAUUACUCAUGAAUUAUUUUUGGGCAUAAAUUACAAAUUUUAGAGAUCACUGCUAAUUUCAAGAUCAUAAAUUAUUAAAUUAAUUGGUCUCAAGCAGUUCUUCUUUACAUCUUAAAUAAAGAGGGAAAGGGACGCAUAAUUACUCAACAACGUUUUCACAUUCAAGUCAUUAAAAGAGCCGGAACCAUGUGAUAAAAAACUAGUAAUCAAGAAUUCAAAAGAAUUAGAUUCUAAAAAGUCUAGUUUCAAAUCCUACUGAUCCCACAUUUUGCACCACGGAUGCAAGAUCCCUACUCUGAUCCACGGACAUUAGGCCAACUCUUGCCACUAUUGCUGCCUCUGCCCUAGCUUCCCAACUCCCAAUUUGCCACUAGUUGUGCCCAGAAAGCAAACAACACCCCCAAUGACACUAAUGGAUUUCGAAUUAGUAGAUAAAGAAGUGACCGGUUCAUUUUUCUUCCCAUCAAAUCCACUUAAUUCACCACCUAUACAGCCUUCCAACCCCUUGCUACCUGCCACUACUAUCUAUACUUCCUCCCAACCCCUCACUGCCACCGUCAUCAAUAAUUUGUCCAAACCCAUUUGAGCCUCCAUCAUGCAUACAUCAUCCAAUUUUCCUUGUGCCACCUCCUUCAAUAUUUCCUCCAAUUCUCCCUACACCUUUACCACCAUGUUUCAACCUCCCACCAGUAAUAAUUAGGUUUAACUCCAUCUCCACCACUACUCUUACCAUUAUUUCCAUUUAUUCCUCUCCCUCCAUUUUCCUUCCUACCCACACCCGCCUCCUUCAAUAUUUUCUUCAAUGUUACAAUAUUAGCUGAGGAAAGGUAGUGUUCCAUUAUCCAUGAUAGGGUAGAGAUAUGAGAGAUAUUGCUGCUUCUCAGACCGGUAGUCCUCGUAUUGCUUCUCCAUUUUGUGGCGACAGUGUUUCGGGGUCUUGGGAAUGGGGGCGUCAGAGAAAAGGCUAUUGAUGAUGGCCUCCACUGCAUCCCAAUCCGCCGUGCACAAAUCCCCUUUCCAGAGAGCGCACCACCUCUCGUGAUAGGCGUCAAUCAAAGUCGGCGUCUCUUUUAGGUGCAGCAUGGCAGAGGAAAUCUCUAGGGAUAUUUUUCCACCAUUUCGGUGGUGGCCACUCGUACAAUGCUGAUGCUGUUGUUGGAGAACAGAUUUGGGCACUGUGUGUAUGGGCGUACGUGUUUGAGAAGGACGUAGUAGUAGGAGACUUUUCAACAAGAAUAAGGUUUCUUGUACAUUGUUUGAUUGACGUGGAGUUCGAGACUUUCUCACAUGUGAAAAGAUUUGAUUUGAUAUUUUUAUAUUAAUCUUUAUUAAUUAAUUAAAUAAUUAUUAAUUAUCACAUGAUUUAUGAAUUUAAAACUAAUCCUGAAUAGUAUAAUUAAGAUAUAGGGUUUUGGGUAAUUUUCUCAUGUAUGUAUAUAUUAGGGCCAGGCUGUUUCAUUGUGUAUUUUCAAGGUCCUGUUGACUUAGAGUUGUAAGAAUGAACUGGAUUAUGUUUGGAUCAAUAUUUAUAAAAUCAAAUUAUAAUAUGGACUAAAGAUUGGGCUUUGUAUCUCAAUUAAACCUUUUCAUCUUUCCAUGUGAAGAGACUUUUAAUCAAAACUAGUUUUCCA
rnacentral:lncRNA from 1 species